GAGAGCGAGGAAAAAUGGGAGGGGCGAGAAAGAAAUAGCUUCUUUCUCGCCCUUCCAUUUUUCCUCGCUCUCUUUCUCUCGCC
rnacentral:miRNA from 1 species